UACGAAGGGGGCUAGCGUUGCUCGGAAUGACUGGGCGUAAAGGGCGCGUAGGCGGAUGGCACAGUCAGAUGUGAAAUUCCCGGGCUUAACCUGGGGGCUGCAUUUGAUACGUGUUGUCUUGAGUUCGGAAGAGGGUCGUGGAAUUCCCAGUGUAGAGGUGAAAUUCGUAGAUAUUGGGGAAGAACACCGGUGGCGAAGGCGGCGACCUGGUCCAUUACUGACGCUGAGGCGCGACAGCGUGGGGGAGCAAACAGG
rnacentral:rRNA from 1 species